CAGAAGGUAUUUUCGCUAAUGUUUUAAUUUGUUUGCUAACCUGUAUGAGUGCAGUCAUGUCUACAAAAUAUAUAAGAAUAUUUGCCGUCUUAAAUGAGAUAAUAAUAGGUUGGUAUCCCCCGUUUAUAAUUCAAAACUGCUUUGCAUACUGAAGCCGUGCCGUUUAAAGUUUGCCGUUGUCAUGACAUUUUGCGAUACUACAAGGUCUAUAUUUGUACCUUUUUCUAGUUAACAGUAAUACCAGCUGUGAAUAAUAUGAUGCUAAGUUAUCGAAUGUGCAAUUGAGAAAUAUGUCAUAUGAGUUUAACCCACGAAAUUAAACACACAAAUAAGAUAGACUAUAAACAACAUUCAAUGACUUGUUCGCUUUUAUAGAUGGAUAUAUAACGUUUUUUAAAUGCUGGAAAGGAGAGCAAACAGGUGGAGAAAGAGUUAGAGAGACUGAAGAGGUCAGAGACAGGUGCAUUUAUAGUCCAUCAUGACAUAAAAAAUCCUCUGCAUGCAACCACGAGGAGAGGGGGAAUUUACUAAGGAGUUUUGUCUAUAUAUUAUAUAAAAUCUACUGUUGGGAAGAGCAGAACCUAAUCCAAAUAAAAAUAAACAAGCUGUUAAAAGCCAGUUGAAGGUGGUCAACACAAACCAAAUGAAGAUGUUGCACAUUUCACAAACAAUAAAAAAGAAGAUCAAGUUUUGUGUCCAACACACUUGGAUGAGACGUGCCCGACCCCUGACUUUGUCUACCCUACAUUAAGUUGUGAUGGCACACUUCAUGACAGUAAACAUCGGUAUCAAGAUGAUGUGAUUGAUCUAUACCCUAGAAUAAGCUGUGACACUAUGAGACGGUGACAUAAUGAACAGCCAUCUUCCAGACAACCGAAACAGUAUUGUCUACAAUACCAAAUUCUGGAUUGACGCCCCAGUACCAGAAGGCACUCCAAUCCCAGAGAGCAUCCCAUUGUGAGGUAACACAACGAAAAAAUAACAGGAUGGAGACUACCUGAUUCUUCACCUAUGGCCUUAGCUUCAAAUGCAAGAAGUCCAGCAACUGUCUGAGCUGGUGGAUAUUCUAUCAGAGACUGCAUGAACAACGUUAUGAACAGAAUGAUGUCUAAUUGUCUUAUGGCAAAGUUCAAUAUGAGGGGUGGUGGACAUCUGGAAAAUAAGUCUUUUAAAGGCACACCUUUGUAUUAUGUUAUUCAAGAUGCUGUGAGGAGGUGGAGCCCAAAAGCCACGGACUCGGAAAUCGAUGCAGCUAUGGCAGACCACCUCAAGCACGCUCCAGGAAGAGAGCUAGGGGUUGUGAAUACAAAAAAUAAGCCAAACAGAUGUAAUGUGUUAGAGAUAGUUCACACAAAAAUGAAAAUUGUUAUAAUUUUCUUACCCACGUGUUUCAAACCUGUAUACAUUUCUAUUUUUUGCUGAACACAAAGAUUGAAUAAUGUUUGUAACCAAGCAUUUCUCACAACCCAUUAACUGUCAUAAUCAUUUUUUUUACAAUUGUAGUAAUGGGUUGUGAGAUCUGCUUUUUUAAAAACAUUCUUUCAAAUAUCUUUGUGUUCCGCAGAACAUAGAAAGGUAUACAGGUUUGAAACAUGAGAGGGAGUAAAUGACUAAAUAUUCAUUUUUGGGUGAACUAUCCCUUUAUAUAAUAAAGUAUUUUGAAAUUGUUAUUAUAGUUAAAAAAAUAAAAGUCUUAAAUCAGAACAUGCUUCUUUUUUGCUCAUGUCCACAAAUAAUGUGUUCUUUAAUGUGUUUAAUGCCUAAAGACCUACACCAAGCAACAAGUGCUAUGGUUGUUAGCUUAUAUACAUUCUGAAAAUUUCAUGUGUACUUUAUGUGAAUGGAGGCCUAUGAUUAUUGCUUCUGACUGUAGGGUAAUUAAAUAUAAGGUAGCCUAAACACAUGAAAGACUAAACAUCACAUAGGCCAUAAAUCCCAAAAAUAAGGCAUAGCUGGCAUUGAUCUGGUACGCGGAUCUGUGCCGCAUCUCUAUGCGGGACUGGGCCAGCUCUGUUCCAUUUCCAGUUCAGAUUCGUGAAACUGAUCCUGACCACUUCUUGGCCGAUGUGCGUUUGGACACUGGACCGUGUUAGUUAAACGGAUCUGAUGCGGAUGGAACGGUAUGUGUGGGCCAGCUCCACCCCAGUGUUGUUUUACUGUUUUGGUACGAGAGUGGGCCAGGGCUGACCCAUCUCUGGUGCAGAGCCAUGAAACAAAUCCUGAUCACUUUUGGCCCGUUGUGCAUUUGGACACUGGACCAUGUCCGUGAGAUGGAUCCGGGGUGGAUCGCAUGGUAGGUGUGGGCCAGAACCACCCCAGUGUGG